AGAAGUCGGUAACAAGGUUUCCGUAGGUGAACCUGCGGAAGGAUCAUUGUCGAAAUCGAACGGAAGAACGACCCGCGAACCGUCCCCACCUACCGAACGGAGGUCGCGAGCCGAAACGCUCGCGUCCCUCGCGUCGCGUCGGCGCGGGCCUUCCCCGGAGGCCGGCGUCGUCCCGACAAACGAACAUCGUCAGCACGAAUCGUGCCAAGGACCCGUAAAAGGCGAGAAUCGCCGUCCCCGGCCCCCGGUCGUUCUCGGCGGGCGGGCGUGGGACGCGCGCGAUCUCUGCUCUAAGUCUUUAAUGACUCUCGGCAACGGAUAUCUCGGCUCUUGCAUCGAUGAAGAACGUAGCGAAAUGCGAUACUUGGUGUGAAUUGCAGAAUCCCGCGAACCAUCAAUUCUUUGAACGCAAGUUGCGCCCGAAGCCAUUUGGCCGAGGGCACGCCUGCCUGGGCGUCGUGAAUCCCCUUGCCCCCCGGAACCCGCGCGAGCACCGUCGCGGGUUCGCCCGGGCGCAGAAUAUGGUCUCCCGUCGCAUCGGCGUGCGCGGCACGCCGUGGUACGGUUGGCCGAAAAUCGAGCAUUGCGACGUCGGGCUGCACGGCGCUAGGUGGAUCGAACGCGAUUGGCUGCGCCGUGGUCCCGUCGUGCCGCGGGCUCAGGACUAGGACGGUUCCCCAGUGCGAUCCCAGGUCAGGCGGGGCUACCCGCUGAGUUUAAGCAUAUCAAUAAACCGGAGGAA
rnacentral:rRNA from 1 species